CUGCGGAAGGAUCAAUA
rnacentral:rRNA from 2 species